rnacentral:rRNA from 1 species
AAAAAUGUAAAUUAUAAAAUUAAGUAAUUAAUAGCUAUGUUCUUUAAAAUUAAAUAAUUUGGCGGUAUUUUAAUCUUUUCAGAGGAACCUGUCCUAUAAUUGAUAAUCCACGAUAAAAUUAACUUUAAUUAGAAAUUUUUAUAUCAUCGUUAUUAAAUAUUUUAUUAGAAUAUUAAUAUUUAAGAUUUUAAAUUUAAAAUUAAUUCAGAUCAAGGUGAAGUUUAUAUUAAAGAAGAGAUGGGUUACAAUAUUAUAAGAUUUGAAUUUAUAAUUGAAAAUUAUAUUGAAAUUGGAUUUGAAAGUAAUUAAUUUAUAUUUUUUAUUAAUGAUUUAGCUCUAAAAUGUGU